GACGAACGCUGGCGGCGUGCUUAACACAUGCAAGUCGAACGGUGAAGGUGGAGCUUGCUCCGCCGGAUCAGUGGCGAACGGGUGAGUAACACGUGGGCAACCUGCCCCAGACUUCGGGAUAACUCCUCGAAAGAGGCGCUAAUACCGGAUACGAGUUCUGCAGGCAUCUGCGGAAUUGGAAAGUUUUUCGGUCGGGGAUGGGCCCGCGGCCUAUCAGCUUGUUGGUGAGGUAACGGCUCACCAAGGCGACGACGGGUAGCCGGCCUGAGAGGGCGACCGGCCAUACUGGGACUGAGACACGGCCCAGACUCCUACGGGAGGCGGCAGUGGGGAAUAUUGCGCAAUGGGCGAAAGCCUGACGCAGCAACGCCGCGUGCGGGAUGAAGGUCUUCGGAUUGUAAACCUCUUUCAGUAGGGACGAAGCGAAAGUGACGGUACCUAAAGAAGAAGCACCGGCUAACUACGUGCCAGCCGCCGCCGUAA
rnacentral:rRNA from 1 species